rnacentral:lncRNA from 1 species
GUUUGGUCCUUAGUAGAUCCAUCUGAAGGUAUUGUAUCUAUUGGGAGUAAAUGGAUUUACAAAAAAAGAUUGGUGGUAAGGUAGAGACCUAUAAGGCAAGGAUAGUUAUAAAAAGUUAUAGUCAAUGCGAAGGCAUUGACUAUUAUGAAACUUUUUCGUCCGUAGCCAUACUGAAAUCCAUCCAUACUCUGCUUGUCAUAG